ACACUGUCGUACUGGGUAAUGAAUAGGGAUGUCAAUAGAUAUGAAUAUUCAAAAUUUUAUCCGAAUUCGAAUCUGAAUAAAACGAAUAUAUCCGAUGAAUAUAAAUAUGAAUUUGAAUAUGGAUAUGAAAAAUAAAAACCCGACGGAUAUGGAUUCCGAUAUGGAUUUUGAUUAUACCCGACCCGAACCCGAACCCGAACCCGACCCGAACCCGAAUUUAUUUUGUAUUAUAUAUAAUAUAUAUAUAAAAAUUUGAUGUUACAUUUGAAUUUGUAUGUUAAAAAUUUAAAUUUAAUAUAAUAUAUUUUGAAAUAUUAAAAAAAAAAAAUUGUUUCGGGUUCAAAUUUUCGGAUUCGGAUUCGGAUUCGGGUUUCGGAUGUUUGGUCGGGUUCGGGUUUGAAUAUGGAUUUUUAAAAUCCGUCGGGUUCGAAUUCAGAUUCGGGUCUCAGGUUUGGAGUCGGGUUCGGAUUCGAAUUUUUAAAAAUUUGCUCCGAAUCCGAUCCGUUGACAUCUCUAGUAAUGAAAGAGGGGAGGAGUUCACGGAGGGCCACAAAUAAAUAUUGCAGGAGCAGCUGCAUGAAAUGAUAACUGCUGGUGAGGCACGGAGCGUGGGACGACGUCCUUUGUUCCGAUGCUUGUGGCCGCCUCCUCGUGCUUUGUUUGUCCUUUCUUUCCCUCCUACCCAUGCUACUCCGUGACUAGUCAAGCACAAAAGCAGGGGCCUCAUAAAAGUUCCUAAUUAACUACUAGCGUCUCCUACUACUCACUCAACAGCUUUUCCCUCCUCUCUCAUUAUUGUCAGCAAAAUUUUUCCAUUUGAUCCCAAAUAAAAAAUAAAAAAUAAAAAAAAAAUUCGGUAUGAAACUUUCUUCUUUUUUUUUUUUUUUUUUCUGUUUGUUUGAUUCAAUGAAAAAAAGAAAAAAAAAAUCGUAAAAGUAUUUUUACGAAUUUGCUAUAAAAUUGAAAAAAAAAAUUUACUGUUUUUCUGUUUUUCGUUGAAAAACGAAAGUAAAAUUUUUUUAAUUAUUUUUUUAUUGAACCAAAUAAAUAUGAUUUUUUUUUCAAUCAAACAAAUAUUAAAUAAUAUUUUUUUGUUUUUUUACAAACUAAACACUACAAAACAUUAAAAAAAAAUUCCACUGAUUUUUAUUUCCCACUAAAACUUAAUUUUCAUGAUUUUACGUUGAACCAAACCCUUACUUGCAAAUGUAAUUUUCUAUAAUUCUUCCGUUAUAAAACUUACAAAAAUUUAAAUAAAAUUUUAGUUAAAAUAAAAAAAAAGUAUAUAAUAUAUCUAAAUUAUAAAUUAUUUUAAUUUGAUUAUCCAACAUUUUUAAUUUUUAAUUUUACUAUCUAAUCUUUCAAUUUGGUUUGACUCGGUCAACAUCAUGUUGACUUCAAAAUGUAAUCUAAUAAUUUAUUUUAAUAAAUUUAUAAAUAUGAAAUUUCAAUA
rnacentral:lncRNA from 1 species